GAUGAACGCUGGCGGCGUGCCUAAUACAUGCAAGUCGAGCGAACGGACGAGAAUCUUGCUUCUCUGAUGUUAGCGGCGGACGGGUGAGUCACACGUGUAUACCCUACCUAUAAGACUGGGAUAACUUCGGGAACCCGGAUCUAACACCGGAUAAUAUUUUGAACCGCAUGGUUCAUCAGUGAAAGACGUUCUUGCUGUCACUUAUAGAUGGUUCCGCGCUGCAUUAGCUAGUUGGUAAGGUAACGGCUUACCAAGGCGACGAUGCAUAGCCGACCUGAGAGGGUGAUCGGCCACACUGGAACUGAGACACGGUCCAGACUCCUACGGGAGGCAGCAGUAGGGAAUAUUCCGCAAUGGGCGAAAGCCUGACGGAGCAACGCCGCGUGAGUGAUGAAGGUCUUCGGAUCGUAAAACUCUGUUAUUAGGGAAGAACAGAUGUGUAAGUAAAUGUGCACAGCUUGACGGUACCUAAUCAGAAAGCAACGGCUAACUACGUG
rnacentral:rRNA from 1 species